rnacentral:tRNA from 1 species
GCCAGUGUGGCCUAGUGGUUUGAGUGUUGGACUAUGACUCUGGAAACCAGGGUUCAAUCCCCAGCUUGUCC